rnacentral:rRNA from 1 species
GACGAACCGUGCGAACGUUGUUCGGAUUCACUGGGCUUAAAGGGCGCGUAGGCGGGCCACCAAGUCGGGGGUGAAAUCCCUCAGCUCAACUGAGGAACUGCCUUCGAUACUGGGGGCCUCGAGGGAGGUAGGGGCGGCCGGAACUUCCGGUGGAGCGGUGAAAUGCGUAGAUAUCUGGAGGAAUACCGGUGGCGAAGGCGGCAUCCUGGACCGGCAUUGACGCUGAUGAGCGAAAGCUAGGGGAGCAAACGGG